CACAACACACACUGUACACGACUGGUCGGGAAAUAUGUUCACGAUUCACGAACGAUUCAAGAGUUCGUAAAUUUUCCGACGAUCAUUUUCAUCGGUAGUGGUAGGUAACAGACACACCGUUGUUUGGCUUGCGAUUUUCCAUGCGCACGUUUUUCGCGUACCUUUGUAACGAACGCAGCUUCUUUGCGUGUUUGUGUGAGAGAAAGAAUGUUUUGCAACAUAACCAUUUCUCCCCUUACUUUCUUGCACACCGUCUCCACUCACCCUUAUCGUGUCCACUGCAUCGGGACUUCGGGACGCAUACCAUCGCAACUGCAUCGUGUGGGGGAAAAACAGCGGAAAAACAUUUUCCAAGUGUUGGUGUUCUUUCGCAUCAUCAACACCAUCACCAACAACAGUAUACGGCCGGGUGGUUGAAUGGGUAGGUGUGUGUGUGUGUGUGUGUGCGUUUUCGCGAAAGGGGUUUCGCUAUGUUGUGCAUUUUCCCGGUAGAUUAGAGAUUAACUAAAGCGGUCGGAAGAUAACCGACCGGAGAGAUGCUGGUCGAAUGUUUUUCGGAUGCGUUCUUUUUUGGUUCGUUCUGCUCGUCUUAAUGUUUGUGUGAUAGUGGUUACGCUUACGGUACAGUUUUCGGAUGCGCAAAGAUGAUUGCCGCACCAAAGAUUGUGAUAAAAUUCUUUUACUUCUGCUUUUUGAAACUAAAACACGUUUAAAAAUGUUCUGAAUGUGAGGAAACGAUUAGUUUGGUUUUCGUGAUUAGUUUUAACUGAAAACAGCUACAUUUUCCACUUUCCAUUUAUUCGAUUUGAAAAAAAUAACACUAACAUCAAAGGUUAAAGAAGGGAAAAUAAUUGUGAUCGCAUUGUGCAGUUUCUCAUAUGAGCGAACAGAAAAAAAAGAACGACCGGUGAAGUUUGCUUGCUGUUUUGCUUCAUUUUCAUCUCACCAUCUUCAUGGUUUGUUUGGUCGUCUGUUCAGCUUCCGAGAUGAAAACGUAACGACGACAGUGACCUACAUAAUACUGGGUCGAUGGUAGAGUGCAACGAGCAGGGGAAACGUUCUUGGUGUUGAACGCUAGAACGAUGUAGCACUUAGCGUAAUAAAAUAAAUUUAACUAAA